rnacentral:rRNA from 1 species
UACGGAGCGUGCGAGCGUUAUCCGGAAUCACUGGGUUUAAAGGGUGCGUAGGCGGCUCGGUAAGUCAGUUGUGAAAGCCCCCUGCUUAACGAGGGAGGUGCGAUUGAUACUGUCGAGCUUGAAUCGGGAUGAGGCAGGCGGAAUGUGGCAUGUAGCGGUGAAAUGCGUAGAGAUGUGGAGGAACACCGAUGGCGAAGGCAGCCCCCUGGGCCUGUACUGACGCUCAUGCACGAAAGCGUGGGGAGCAAACAGG